GAUGAACGCUGGCGGCGGGCCUAAAACAUGCAAGUCGAGCGGCAGCACGGUCUUCGGACUGGUGGCGAGCGGCGGACGGCUGAGUAACACGUAGGAACAUACCCCGAAGUGAGGGAUAACUGCUCGAAAGAGUAGCUAAUACCGCAUGUGAUCUAAGGAUUAAAGCUUUAUGCGGUUUGGGAAUGGCCUGCGUCUGAUUAGUUUGUUGGUGAGGUAAUGGCUCACCAAGACUACGGUCAGUAGCUGGUCUGAGAGGAUGAGCAGCCAGACUGGGACUGAGACACGGCCCAGACUCCUACGGGAGGCAGCAGUUAGGAAUUUUCCACAAUGGGCGAAAGCCUGAUGGAGCAACGCCGCGUGCAGGAUGAAUGCCUUCGGGUUGUAAACUGCUUUUAUAUGUGACGAAUAUGACGGUAGCAUAUGAAUAAGGAUCGGCUAACUCCGUGCCAGCAGCCGCUGUAA
rnacentral:rRNA from 1 species